GCAGUUCGUCUUUUGGCGGCUUUUCGUAGUACCCGUUCACCAAACUACUCCCAGAACAGACGUUUGGGGUGGAGUGUGGGAAAGAAACAGAUGCCAUUUGCCUCGUUAGAAAUCAGUGUUAACAUCAGAAGAACUGAUACCUCAAGUUACAACAUCUACCAGCAGGAGCUAAUGUGGAGCUUCCAACAAAGUUUUCCCAGCUUAGCCUUCACCACUCAUAGCAGCCCCAGGCAUCUACCCCUCCCCUGCUCGACCUGCACUCCAAAGUCUGUACAGGCCAGAUGAAGACUGUGUUCAUCGCCCUUCAGCCCGAUCGUGUUGGCUAAUUAUGACAGUUAGUAGUGGGGAUUGUGAGAGUCAUUCACAGGCCAUUAGAGCUCAGCCCGCGAGGUGAUAUCGUCUGUCACUUCCUCUAUUCCCCUGCAGCGCUGCUUUGUCUGUGGCAUCAGUCCACAUCCCACAAGACCUGAAAGAGGAAGCCUUAAAUCUGCCUCGGAAGUCUUGCGCAUUAGUUCCUUUCCUUUUUUUUGUGAGGUGAGUAUGCGCUUUCCUGACUGUUGGGUUAAUUGCACAUUUAACAUGAUCAGGAUAUCUGUUGCCGGAUGUGAGAUGUAGGGAGCAAACCUAAAUGUUCCUAACUGUUUCACAUCUAACUUCAAUGAAAGCAGUGAAAAUAAAUAAGACCAUCAUAUUAUGCUUAUUUACCUUUGAGAUGCAAAUUUUCCAUUUUACGCCACACCAAGUCAAGGGCAGAGGGACAAUGAAAUGAUGAAAAAUGUGUUGAAUACCGAUCAACAGAGGCCCCUUUGUGCAAACGCUGACCUCUAACUGCAACUGCGCUAAGAAAGAUAAUGCAUUGGUCUCAUUAGAGGAACAGGAAAACUGAGAAUUGUUUCAAUAUGACCAACAAUAGUAGCUGUUAAAUUAUCUAGAGAACCAUGGAUAAAGGGUCGUUCAUGAAAAGACAUAAAAAUUCUGUCAUCAUUUACUCAAUCAUGUCAUUCCAGACCUGGAUGCAUUUCUUUUUACUGUUCUUUUUCUGCUAUGAAAAACAGCAGUUUGCUAUUGAGCUUCAAAAAUGUCUGUUAUUGUAUUAUAAAAAUGGACUGAACAAUUUAUGUAGUAUUUUUCAAGCCAUUCUUCCAAGAACAGUCCUUUUGAGGCUACAAGGCUAGAGUCCUGCUCAGCAUUAAACACUAGAACGAGACAGUCUAGCAGGGUUGCCAAGUCUCACCCCAAACACCACCCCCUCAUAGCAGAAACUCGCUUUUGACAGAGCAGACCCCUGACAGAGGGGUAACAACAUGAAAAUACUACUAAAUUAUAAUUUGGUUAAUAGUUUAAAUAAAAAAUAAAAAUAUUUAUAUUAACUGAUUUUCUUAAUGCAGUACAUGCAAUGAGAACUGUCUAUGGUCUCUCAAUGGUUUACAUUAUGCACCGUUUAGCAUUAUGCAGUUAAUUUACAACAAAAUUACAGAAAACAUAUCUUAAUCUACAAAAUCUUUUUUUUUUUUUUUUUUUUUGCAUUACAUGAAAUGAAAAUGAAAGUGGACAAGCUCGGGAAGCUUUCAUGAAUUUGAAUGUGUGCAAAGAAUUGUGGGUGAUUGAAGGACUUGAGAGAUACACCUUAUGUACCCUGCAAAACAGGGUGAAUGAAGGACAUGAAAUGAAGAAUGCCUACUAAGGAUCCUUCAAACUGAGACGUCCUUCUAUAGCGCUUGGUGAUGUGGCAGCUUAGACUGCAGCCUUACUAAGAUGGAGCCUUCUGAUUGAGAAGCACCCAGUGUCUUAAGAAUCACUAGAAACCUUCAGGCAAAUAUGUUUGAAGCAGGUUCGAUUGAAGAUGUGUUGAUUUGGUUAACCUGAACAGUGCCAAAUUCCAUCAAUUGAAACUAAAGGUACGCCACAAACAUUCAUUGCCAAAGAAGCUGGCUGUUCACAGAGUGCUGGUUAAUAGAAAGUUGAUUGGAAGGGAAAAGUGAGGAAGAAAAAGAUGCACAACCAACCGAGAGAACCGCACCCUUAUGAGGACUGUCAAGCAAAAUCGAUUCAAGAAUUUGACAAGGAAUGGACUGAGGCUGGGGUCAAGGCAUACAAAGGUGUCAAGAAAUUUGGCUACAGUUGUUGUGUUCCUCUUGUUAAGCCACUCGUGAACCACAGACAGCGUCGAGGCAUCUUACCUGGGCUAAGGAGAAGAAGAACUGGACUGUUGCCCAGUGAUCUAAAGUCCUCUUUUCAGGGUCAGUACAAGAAGUUUUGUAUUUCAUUUGGAAACCAAGGUCCUAGAGUCUGGAGGAAGGGUGGGGAAGCUCAUAGCCCAAGUUGCUUGAAGUCCAGUGUUAAGUUGAUACAGUCUGUUUCUGUUUUUAUACAGUCUGUUUCUGUUUUUAUACAGUCCGUUUCUGUUUUUAUACAGUCCAUUGUGUCUUUUGAAAACCAAAAUCAAUGCAUCUGUUUAAUCAAGAAAUCAUCACAAUUGAAAGAACCAAAGACUUAAACUUCAGCCUGUGUGCACUGAUUUAUUUAAUACACGAGUUUCACAAUUUGAGUUGAAUUACUGAAAUAAAUGAACUUUUCCACCUCAUUCUAAUUAAUUGAGAUGCACCUGUAUGUGAUAGCAUUAGGAUGCACAAAGUUUUUGAAUAUGCACAAGAUACGAGAGAUACAGGGUCAUGAUUAACUUUCAUUAUACGUUAAAGGGUAGCGUGAAAAUUCUGCUGAACUUCUGUUUUGUGUACUACAGAAAUUCAUACAAGUUUGGAACGACAUAAAUGUCAGAAACUAGACUGUGUUGUUGUGAGUUGAGAAAUACAGCUCUUUUUAGUAUGCUUGCACACUGCUGCUGUUCCCUUUGGUUUCUCAAUAGUACAAGUCAGACAUCGUCUGGAUCUCUUCCCAUGGUGGCUCA